AUCCGGUUGACGAGUCCAAAAUAGGACGAAACUCGCAUUCUGGAU
rnacentral:hammerhead_ribozyme from 1 species